CUUAUUCUCUCCUCCCUUCCCUUUUUCUCUUCCUCCCUCUCUUUCUGUCUCCCUCCCCCUCCCCACUAGAGUACAUUCAGAGGAAAGACCGUGUGAGAACAAACUGCUGUCUGAAAGCCAGGAAGUGGGCUCUCACCAGAAACCAAACCCUGCUGGACCUUAACUUGCAGCUUCCAGCUUCCAGAACCGUGAGAAGUACAUCUUGCUUGUUUAAGUCACCAGUCUGCAAUAUUUUGUUAUGGAAGCCCAGGUGGACUGAUACGGUCCUCUCUCAUGUUUUUUAUUUCUCUGGUGUGAGCUGGGCACCCGUACACUGUGCCACACAAGCUUCUGGGCAUAAGUGAGCCAUCUCCUCUCCGCUCUGGGGCUGUUGUUCCAUCCAGCCCCCAAAGGGACAAUUAUCAGAGGAGAGAACCACGAUGCUGUGAGCGGAGUGCAGCAGAAACACCAGGUGGUGGCACCGCAUCAAGCUUUACAAAGAUUCUCACCAAAUCUCAGACUUUGCCUCUUGAAUCUGUCACUCUCCUGUUCCAAAGAUAAAAUGAAACGAAGAGAAAAACAGCUUUUAGAUCACCAUGGCAACCAUCUGGAAACACCUGUCUCUGUUGGCAAGGGGUGGCUGACAAGGGGGAGAAUUUGAAAAACUGCAAACAUCUUGUUUUCAUUGACUUAGAGCUAGCUGUCCAAAUAUUUGUAUCACUUGAGGUAAAAAAAAAAACAAAACUGAAUUUAGAUUGCACUUCUAUUAUUCAGUACAAACAUCUUCUGGUACAAUCUUGAACUUACCUGAAAAUAAUCUAAACAAUGUAAGUUGUAACCAGCAAAGGGGAAGUGUGUUAACUUAGUGAGCACAUGCGUUGGGCACUGGGAUCUGGUGAUACAUGGGAGGCAUGUGUUUUCUGC